rnacentral:lncRNA from 1 species
GUCCCCAGAGCUGCAUCUCAAGCAGCAGGAUGGAGGAAGGCAGUGGCAAUGGCACCAUCCCUCUGCCUUGUAGGGAGUGCUCUGGGAAUGGCCCAGGCUGCGGAAAGUUCCUGUGUUGAGACUUAAUCACUGUAGUGGUACGAAGAGGCAACAGGGCAUUGGGCCUCCUUUGUGAAUGGUUUAAGGCUUUAUAAGAGGAUCUUCACACAGAGUUCGGUCCUCUUGUUGUCCUUGCUGCCGAGUGAGGAGACAGCUUUGUGGCCUGUGGGACAAGCAGCAACCACGUGCUGUCUUGGCCUCAGAGAGCAGCCUUAGCGGACAGCAACCUGUCGGCUCCUGCAUUUCUGACUUCCCAGCCGCCAUAACUGUGAGAAACAAAUUUCUGUUCUUUAUGAACUGUCCAGUCUUGGAUAUUCAUUACCGCAGCGCCAUCAGGCGAAACCCGCCCACCCCCAUAUUACAUCUGCUUGGCCCGAAGCUGCUUGUGUGACCACGCAUAGCUGGAAGCAGGCUGGGGAUGCAGUCUGGAGUACAGGAAAGGAGGGUGGGUGUUGGAGGAGGACUUCUGGGGGCUGAUCAGGACUCCAACCACGUGACCAAGAAAAAAAGGAAGUGGACUCCACGUGAAGGCCAACCUCUGAGCACUAAGCAGUCUUCUCUGCAGACAGCUGCCCUGGAGUCUUUGCAUGACAGAUGGCUGACAGCCAGCACUGGGGAGCUGCAGAAAGAUCCUUCUGCCUUGCCAGAUUUGCAAACAGCUGUAGUCUACUCCAUAGCACUUUAGGGAGCAUCACCUGUGCUUAGCAUGGUGCUCGAGUUAAGAAUCAGGUCUUUCGUGGAGGCGAAAGCAAUAACUUAUG